UUCAUGGAGAGUUUGAUCCUGGCUCAGGACGAACGCUGGCGGCGUGCCUAAUACAUGCAAGUCGAGCGGACAGAUGGGAGCUUGCUCCCUGAUGUUAGCGGCGGACGGGUGAGUAACACGUGGGUAACCUGCCUGUAAGACUGGGAUAACUCCGGGAAACCGGGGCUAAUACCGGAUGCUUAAUUGAACCGCAUGGUUCAAUUAUAAAAGGUGGCUUUUAGCUACCACUUACAGAUGGACCCGCGGCGCAUUAGCUAGUUGGUGAGGUAACGGCUCACCAAGGCAACGAUGCGUAGCCGACCUGAGAGGGUGAUCGGCCACACUGGGACUGAGACACGGCCCAGACUCCUACGGGAGGCAGCAGUAGGGAAUCUUCCGCAAUGGACGAAAGUCUGACGGAGC
rnacentral:rRNA from 1 species